UAGGGGUCCCUGUGAUGACAGUAAGCUCA
rnacentral:piRNA from 1 species